UACUUACUUGGGAGGCUGCGCUGAGAGCAUUGCUUGAGCCUGGGAGUUUGAGGCUGCAGUGAGCCAUGAUCACCCCACUGCAAUCCAGCCUGGCCAUAGGGCAAGACCUUAACAAUCAAUCAAAAAUAAAAACAGGGGGUCAGACUGAAAGAGAUCUGAAGAUGUUACACUGCAGCUUCUGAAGAUGGAGGAAGGGGCUAUGAACCAAGGAACACAGGUGGUCUGUGUAAGCCAGAAAUGCAAGGAAACCUCUUCCCUAGAAUCUGAAAGAUGCAACCUAGCAACACUGGUUUCAGACUUCUGACCUCCAGAACUACCAGCAGUGACUGACUACAGAGGACAGAGCAGUCAGUGCCAUUGAAAGACAUCCUAUUCCUUGCAGUUCCUGAGAGGAAAGACAGUGCCAGACCACGCAGCGCCAUGAGGGGAAGUGCCAGUGUUGGUGAAAAACGUUUGUCCUGACCUCUCGUAACUUGUACUUUUCCCUCAGGGCUUUGGUGAACACAGCUUCUCCAUCCCCUGCACCUGGGAAACCCCAACCAUCCCUCAGACCCUGGCACCACUGUCCCCUCCUAGACAGCGUGUACCCUGGGGGCCACCACAGCUCUCUGCUCACGUGGCACCUGUCUGGCCCUACAGGAGCCCACUGCACCCUGCACUGGGGAUUCCUGGAGAACAGUCUCUGAGAUUGACAAUCACCUCUGCCUUCCGCACCCUGCUUGGUCCUGAAUGAUGUGUGCCCUGGGGAACCUCGCUCACCUCCAACAGUCUGAUGUCUCCAUCUGCAAAAGGAAGAUGAAGAUUCCCAGCUACCAUGGAGGGUUUGGGAGAAGAUUAAAUCAGGGAAAUGCUCUUGUUCGUUGGGCACACAGUAGGCAUUUCACAAUGACAGCUGCCACCUCUAACCUCUCAGGAAGCUUCUUUGACGCAGGCUACCAGGGCCAGCUCCUUCCAUCUCUUGCAGGCUGCUGCCACGCCCUCGUGCUGCCCAGAAUCUGCACUUUGGUGCAGAUCUUUCUGGGAAAGCUUCGGCGGGCACUGCCACUCAGCUAUGCCAGCUGGAAAGUGUGACAAAGGCAGCCUGGCCCAAGGUCACCCAUGGGGCUUCAGCGGCUGGUGGGUAAAAUGCUCAGCCCAGGAACUGGAGGAAACCCUUUGGCAUGGAGCCCUAGAACAUCUUCUCUCCCCUGAAACCCAGGAUUUGGAGAAGAGAACUGGGAGACAAUUAAGAUGUGGGAAAAACCGAGAAAGAGCACUCUGAAGUGACACGAGAGGAUCAAUUGCUCUUGAGAGUCUGAUGAAUAGGCUUCUGUUGCUGAAAAUGGUUUCAAAGAUGAGAUGCCUGCAAUGCUCUCAGUCGUGGGAGAUGAGUGAACCAGACAGCUAGGCUCACAGGGGCUCUAGAUCUCACUGUGAAGCCCCAACACCAAGGUGGGAGUGGGCCCUGCCCUGAGCAGCCACCCCAGGAACCCUGCUGAAGCCCACCUGUAGAAGGAUCAUUGGGAAAUGAUCCUGGAGACUGCCUGGGUCGGCAGGCUGGUGGCCUCGCUGGUGUGCUGUGAAAACAGCCCGCAGACAGGCCGCUUCAAGCUCCUUGCAACUGACCACUGCCAUGUAUGGAUGGCUGAGAUUGUACAGCAAAAAAUUCCAGUCUACUGUACUCAGAAUAACUUUUGCAACAUUUUCUUUUUGUAAGCAGUAUGUAUUAUGCAUGAUUUUCUAUUACA